AUGCCCGGUAUGAUCGCCAGAGAUGGCUUUCUUCCCGCAAGGGGCCGGUGCACAGGUGCUGCAUGGCUGUCGUCAGCUCGUGUCGUGAGAUGUUGGGUUAAGUCCCGCAACGAGCGCCACCCUCCCCCUUAGUUGCCAUCAUUCAGUUGGGCACUCUAGGGGGACUGCCGGUGAUAAGCCGCGAGGAAGGUGGGGAUGACGUCAAGUCCUCAUGGCCCUUACAGGCUGGGCUACACACGUGCUACAAUGGCGGUGACAAUGGGACGCGAAAGGGCGACCUGGAGCAAAUCUCAAAAAACCGUCUCAGUUCGGAUUGCACUCUGCAACUCGAGUGCAUGAAGGUGGAAUCGCUAGUAAUCGCAGAUCAGCACGCUGCGGUAAAUACUUUCCCGGGUCUUGUACACACG
rnacentral:rRNA from 1 species